GACGAACGCUGGCGGCGUGCUUAACACAUGCAAGUCGAACGGAAAGGCCUGCUUUCCCUUUUGGCUUACGGGUACUCAAGUGGCGAAAAGGUGAGUAACACGUGCGUGCUCUGCCCCCAACUUUGGUAUAAGCCUGGGAAACUGGGUCUAAUUCCCGAUAGGACUGCAGGGUGGUGCCUGUGGUGGAAAACGAUUUUCUAGUGGUUGGGGAUGGGCUCGCGGCCUAUCAGCUUGUUGGUGGGGUAAUGGCCUACCAAGGCGGCGACGGGUAGCCGGCCUGAGAGGGUGGACGGCCACACUGGGACUGAGAUACGGGCCAGACUCCUACGGGAGGCAGCAGUGGGGAAUAUUGCACAAUGGUCGGAAGCCUGAUGCAGCGACGCCGCGUGGAGGAAGACGGCCUUCGGGGUGGAAACCCGCUUCGACCGGUAGAUAACCACCCGGUGGGAAGGGUGUUGACGGUAGUAGUAGAAGAAGCAACGGCUAACUACGUG
rnacentral:rRNA from 1 species